rnacentral:rRNA from 1 species
AGCGAACGCUGGCGGCAGGCCUAACACAUGCAAGUCGAACGAACCUGUCUGGUGUAUUGGCCGACGUGUGAGUAACACGUCGGAACAUUCCCUUAGGUUCGGUCUAACUCAGGGAAACUUGUACUAAUACCAAAUGUGCGCUUCUGGGGAAAAAUUUAUUUCAUUUUGAGCGGCCCGCGUCUGAUUAGCUAGUUGGUUAAGGUAAUGUCUCGCCAAGGCGACGAUCAGUAGCUGGUCUGUAAGGAUGAUCAGAAACAUUGGGACUGAGACACGGACCAAAUUCCUACGGGAGGCAGAAGUGGGGAAUCUUGAGCAAUGGGCGAAAGAAUGACGCAGCCAUGUCGCGUGAAUGAUGAAGGUGUUAGGAUUGUAAGAUUCUUUCAACGGGGAAGAUAAUGACGGUAACCGGCGAAGAAGCCCCGGCUAACUUCGUG